rnacentral:rRNA from 1 species
UACGUAGGGGGCUAGCGUUGUCCGGAAUCAUUGGGCGUAAAGCGCGUGUAGGCGGUCCGGUAAGUCCGCUGUGAAAGUCGGGGGCUCAACCCUCGGAUGCCGGUGGAUACUGUCGGGCUUGAGUACGGAAGAGGCGAGUGGAAUUCCUGGUGUAGCGGUGAAAUGCGCAGAUAUCAGGAGGAACACCAAUUGCGAAGGCAGCUCGCUGGGACGUUACUGACGCUGAGACGCGAAAGCGUGGGAGCAAACAGGAU